GAAACUUAGGUUAUUCCAAACCAGGGGUCUUCAAAACCCCAAAAAAGACCUCGCCCCUCUUAGUCUCUGAAGGCCU
rnacentral:tRNA from 1 species